rnacentral:rRNA from 1 species
UUGAACUUUGAUCUCAAAUCAGGUAGGACUACCCGCUGAACUUAAGCAUAUCAAUAA